rnacentral:lncRNA from 1 species
AACAAAAUCACCUCUGAUUUUUUUUUUUCUUCUCUUUUAUUCUUGCAUUAAAUUAUAUUUUUUAACUCCUAUUUAUGCAACAAUUUUUAUUCGUUUAUAGUUUUUUCUUUUUGUUUUCUUUCUUUGUUCUCCAUUGAAUUAUAUUUUCAUUCUAAAAAAAUUUUCAAUAUAUUUUUUUAUUAUUAACCAAUCAAAUAUUGAUUAUUUUCUGCUAUAUUUUUAUAUUUUAUUUAUAUAUUUAAUUUAGAAUUUAUUAUAAUUUUUAUCCACUGCAUCGCCGGAUAAAAACACUAGUUGAUCACUAUGAAGAUGCCAUUGUCUAAGUGUCAAAUGGAGGUCAACUUCAAAACUCCCAGUGGUUUACUCCAAUUUGCAUUUUACCACUACUUUUGAUUGUAUAAUGCAACACUUUGCUAUUUUUCAAUGGCACAUCCUGUGACUAAACGGAGAGCAACAAGCAAGUUUAGUGCUGAAUUUUGAAAUUCUAAAUAAUGGGCGUACAAUCAACUUACGUACACUAUGGUUCGCGUGUUUCACCCACCGAAAAUUUAGGUUAAAAUGGACUUUUGAUUGAACUAGGAUUUAGAUAAAAAUUAUUUGUCCUGCUGUAAAAGAAAAGUCCCUUCAAUUCUGCUAUUUAUUUAGUAGGAAGUCAAUAACGUAAAAACUAUUUUUUUUUUUUACCAUUUAUAUUUAUUUUACUGAAAACUGGCGAAUCCUACAUCUUCGGUAAACUUAUCUUCGUAUACCUCUCUUUUCAUACAGCACGGUCGGCUCUUAUAUUACUUGAUAAAUAAUAAAAAAUAAUAUAAUUAUAUCCUAUAUAUUAUAAUUUAAAACAAUUGAAUUAAUUUUUUCAUACAUAAAUUUAUAACAAUGCAACAAUAAAACGCUGAAAAGAAAAAGAAUAUUAAUACUCAAUUAAUCAAUUUUUUUAUAAUUCAAAUAUGCAAACUAAAUAAAAGAAAAAUUAGUACAACAACUAAAUAUAUUUAUAUUUGAAUGAAAGAGGUGGUAAUCAUAUUACAAAAAUAAAUUUUCUUUUGCGAUAAUUUAUUACUUUUUUUCCUCACUUCUCUUUUUUGUAAUUGACUUCAGCCUAGGGUAAGACAGAGUCUAUUAUGUUAUUUUGAAAAACAUGAGUUAUGGCUGUAUUUAUAUUGCAGUGAAUUAAACAACAAAUUGAUCGUUUACGAUCCAGAACCCACUUUAUCCCUCUCUAUUUUGGACGAAACAAAUAGACUAGGAAAAUCUUUUCAACUCUUUUUUUUUUUCUGGGCAAAACUAACUACAGUUUAGUAGGAUGACUGAUUGGAAAGAAGUUAAAACUGUAGUUACUCAAGUGAAAUAGAUCAAAAUUUGGUGAUUUAAAUAAAAUUUUAACACAAGUUUUGGCCAAUUUUAUUAAAAAAAGAAAAAUGCGUUGGAUAUCUUCUAUAGGGCGGCCUCUAUUAUCAUUCAUGCUGCCACAUGAUAGAUUUUAUUUUUAAAAUUAAUGUGCGAGUACAAUUUAUUUAGUCCGAAGAAACGUCAAUUAGGGUAAGCAAAAGAGUAAAGCCGUCCUAGUGAAAAUUUAAAAUUAAAAUUUAAGGUAUCAAUUUCAAUAGAACGUAUAAAUGAAGGACUUAAUGUAUUUUCAUCCUAGUAAAAAUUCUAGUCGUACUGUUUUCUCUUUUUCUAUUUUUUUUAUUUUACUUUGUUUUUUAAACUCUAGCUGUUUACUGCUUAAAUCUUUCUUUUAAACGAAUUUUAUUUGACUAUGUGCAACUAAUCAGAACGCGAAUUUUCUAUAGCGAGAGGUUUAUGAUUUAUCCAUAAACUGUUUAAUAAAGUAUAUAAAAAAUAUAUGCAUACGGAUAUCCGUAUCCGAUUUAGAUCCGACCCGUACUCGAUUCAUACUCGGUCUUAAACGGAUAAUAUAUGAGCAGUCGCUAUUCAAAUCUGCUCAAAUAGAUCGAAUGAAUAUAUUAUUAACUUAAGUGUUCGGAUGCAGACUUAAUUUGAAAUUAAAUAGGUAGGGUAUAUAUAUUAUUUUUUAUUUAUGUUUUUAAAAUAUAAAUAUUGUAAAUCAACUAUUGAGGCUGGAUCGGGUCCACGGACCCAUUUACCAAAAAGCAUUCCCCUCAUGACUCAUGAGACUAGUAAAAAGGCACGGAAGAUGGCACGAAGGAUGCGUACAAAUAACCAACGCGUACGGACACCCUUUCUGUGUAUAUUCCCCGUUUCAGAGCAGCUGAUUACGAAACGCCCCUAUAAAAGCGAGGAAUAGGAUCUUCCCCAAGAUCCAAAACAUAGAGAGCAGAAGCUGCAAAGAAUAUUCCUCCCUUUUUCUCCUCCCAGUUCUGAUGAGACUGGAGAUGCAAAAACCACCACCACCACCUCCUCCUCCUCCUCCAUCUCACCAUCUGGAGGAGGAAGAGGAAGAGGAAGAGGAAGAGGAGGAAGAGAUGGUGGCAGAGGAGGAGAUGGAAAUGGCGUCUCCCGAAUUCGUCAGCUGUGACGGCGCCGCCGCCGGCGGAGGAGGAGGAGGAGGGGAGCAGCAGCUGUUUGUGCCGCCGCUCAACUUCGCGAUGGUCGACCACGGCGUCUUCCGCUCCGGCUUCCCCGGCGUCGACAACUUCGGCUUCCUUCACUCGCUCCGCCUCCGCUCUGUCCUGUCAGUAGACCACAAAAAAAAAAAAAUCUAAUCCAUGGCUGCUGCUCUCUUUAUAUAGAGGUUUAACUUUUGAUUUAUUUAUGUUUGUUUAUUUUUGGGGUGUAGGUGUCUCUGCCCGGAGCCUUACCCGGAGGCGAACAUGGAGUUCCUCCGGGCGAAUGGGAUCAGGUUGUUUCAGUUUGGGAUCGACGGAGCCAAGGUUGGAUUCAUGGUUUUCUCCUUCUCGCUCUCUUCUUAUAUGCGCAACUUUCGUUUCCGAAGCAUUUGCACAAAACGAAUUGUCGAAACAUCUGUUCUGUUUGGUUCCGCUUUCGCUUCCGCCUUUAGCAUCCGCGGACAAAUAGAAGGGUCUGCCGAAAAGAAAUGAGAUUCAAUUUUGGUGCUUUUGAUUCCGCUGCUGCAGAAAGAAAUUAUUAGAGGGCAUUUUAGAAGAAACAUAAUACUAGAAACCAACUUUAACAAAUUCUCUUCCAAAUUGGAUCCAUUUCUUCUGGACCUCAGAAUCUUAGUCAGUUUUUCUACGUCCCAAGCGUUCCGCCGGAGGUAGCUGUUGCUGAAAGUAGAAGCAGAAGUGGGACCGAACAGACACUACAUCGUAAUGUUUGUAUAUAUAUAUAUAUAUAUAUAUAUAUAUAUAUAUUUCUUUGCUUUCCUCUAUUUGAAAAGAAGUUUCCUACCCAAAACAUUCCAUAAAUGUUACUUUUCUUGUCCAAUAUCUAAUCCUUAUCUUAUCGUGCUAAGUUACGUUAGCUACGUUCCAACUUUUUUUUCUUCUUAUGUUUAUCGUCUCUUUCUAAUGAUCAGGAUCCAGUCCAUUCCAAUUAUAUAUUCUUUGAAACCAGGUCUUGCUCCCAAUGAUAUUUAUCUUUUCCGAAUCGAACGGAAUUAUGUAACAUAAUGUUUCGGGUACGAAACCUACUCCGAUAUAGUUGUAGCCGAUUUUUCUACAGGAGAACUCAAAUAGAUAAGACCUUAUGGUUGAUCUUUCUUCUGAUCCAAGCUAACGUAAAAAAAAAGAAAAAAAAUAAAAGCUUUACUAACUGAUUCAAACGUAGAAAAAUUUCAUUGCUUAUGCGUUCGUUUUUCUGCAUACAUAUCCUUCCUUAUCUGCUGCUCUUUUGAAUAGCCUUUUGGGUGUCUUACAUACAGUUCUUAAAUGAAGAGCUGUCUUUUAGAUGUCAAAUUUGCAUGUUUACCAGUACCUUUCCAUUCUCUUAAAAUUUGCAUAAAAUUGGUCAUUUAAUGGUGCUGAUGCAGAUUUAGACUUCUCAUUCUGUUGCUUUCAGUGAGUAUUUUAUGUUAUUUAAUUUUAUUUUUUUGAAAUUCUAGGCAAGUUUCAAAAUUUCUUGAGCGUAUUGAUCAUUCACAGCCGUGCUUUUCUAAAGGGCUACAUAGCUGAAGUAUUAUUUUGUUAACAUUAUAAAAGUAAGAAAGUCUUGAAGUACUAACUGUUAGAGAUUUAUCAGAGAAUCAAUUUUAUUUUAACUCUACCAUCAAUAGUACGAACAGUAGAUGUGAUUUUUAGCAUAUUAAUAUGGUGUGCACGAAAACAUUAGGCUCUUAGGAGAGCAUCUAGAUGUUAAAUGUGCAGUCUCUAAUUCGCGUACAUCGUACUAUUUAGCUGUUUUUAUCUUAUUCACUUGUUAGCUCUAACUGAUGGGAAUAUUGCUUUGUGAUCAUGUGUCAAAACUUCUAGGUGAAUGUAUUACUUUGAUUGUCUCUGAUCUUUUAAUAAGCAACAAAUGCUACAUGCAAUAUUUGGCCUACAAUUGUUAAUGAAAGUAUUCAGAUUGAGUUCUAAUUGGAAAUAGGAGGAACAUGAAUACAGCCCUAAUUGUUCUUUGGAUGACAUGGGGUUUCUUUAGAUCUCAGUGUAGUUCGCUGAUUGUGAAAUUGGGAAGCUUGGUUUAUGCGAACGCAAUAUGUAAAUGCACCACAUAGCAAGGUUUAAAGUGCUACCCUGUGUCGUACGGCACGGGGCGGCACGUGCCCUGCACGAUACGGGGGGUCUCGAACUUCCCUCCGUGCCGCGCAGCACCGUGCCGGACGAGACAGAGCGGUACGGUGCAACGUGCCAUGGCACAGUGCCAUGCUGGCACUAUGCUUUUUUUUUUUUUUUUUUUUUUUGCUUUUUGUUUCUUUUUUUUUUUGUUCUUUGGGGUAUCCAAAGUAUUCUGGGUACCCCACGCCCCACCUCCAAAGAUAUUGCAAAUCGAAAAUUUAUUUAUUAGGUAAGUCAAAAAAAUUAUAAUUUAUAUUUUUUGUUUAUCAAUAUACGGACAAAAGAUUUGUCCGAGCCCUCCAUUUCCACUGUAGAUAUCUAUUUUUUCUUUACAAAUUAUUUUUAUCAAAAUUUGUCGCACCACGAAAUUUUUGGCGAAUUAAGGGAAUAAAAUCGAACUCAAUAAACAAAUUUUGAGCCAUAUCAAACAUAAAAUUUUAUUUUUGCGCUAGAAGAUUGAAAAUACUGAUAAAAUUAAAAGCUAAAUUAAAUCAAUUGAUACUUAAAUUAUUUAAUUUAUUUGUCAUAUAAUUUAUUGCUUAAUUUUUUUGAUAGAUCUACUAAUUUUUUGAAAAAAUUAAUUAAAAAAAAUACUUUUUUUCAAAUACUUUUUAAAAUAAUUUUUUUCAAAUAAAUUUUUUUUUGUAUUUUAUAAAAGAAAGACUAUAAUAUGGUCAAAAGAAACAAAGAAAAAAAGAUAUCUUUGCAUUUUAAAAAUUCUAAGUUGUAAAAAUUUUUAUUCUGCAUCAGUAGGUAUAAUUGUACUUUACAUACAAAAAAAAUUACAAAUAUAUUAAUUGAUGAGUUUAGUAAGCUAUACAUAGCAAAUAUUCAUAAUUAUUUGAUUAAAUCUUUCAAAUAAUAUUAUAAGAGCUUAUUGGAAUAAAAAAAAACUGAAAUAAGUCCGUGCUAAAGUGUGUCAGUAGGAGGUCGUGCGUAUCCAUCGGCACGCAAGCGUACCAUGUGUCGGCAUGCAAGUGUGUCGGUGCCGUACCGUGCCAGGCAGACAGCGGCACGCCUCGGUGCCACGGUACUUUAAACCUUACCACAUAAUGUUAUGGUUAUUCCAUGUAACCACUUAUUCGAGAUAUUUAAAUAUCUUAUUAGUUUUCAGGUAAAUAUAGUCAAAAGAUCUCUCUUGUGGAUGUUUUUUUUAUACAAAAUAGUGGUGGGGACUGCUAACACUAAAGCAUCUUGCCAGAUGCUUCUCCGGUUGUGAUUUCUAUCAUCAUUUUGAAACAUCCGAAGAGGAAGCUCUACAGGACCUUCAAGAUUUUUGAAACCUUUCAAAACAUAGAAGUGAGUACAUUUGAACAAUGCGUUCCUGAACUACACGUAGCUAGUUUCUACUUUAGUUUAUGGAGACUAAGGAUUCGACAAGUGGCAUAGAAUUUAAGGACGGCAAGCCCUUCUAACUGAUAGAUAUGUGUCUUUUCUAGAUUUCAUAGAAUAACUUUGUUGUCAGGCAAAGAUGAACUUUGCUGUAACUCACAGUACUUUCUGACAUAACCUGUCUUUAAAGUGCAACCAUUCAUAUUAGGAAGAGGAAGGACUUUGCUUCUGACAAAUUUAAUUUGUGAAUUUCAACAUUUGGCUAUUGGAACGAGGUGCCAAGUUUUGUGCUGGGAGCAACUCUCAGUGCUCUGUAUGAAGCAGAAUCAGCUUUUAAGGCAAUCAUCAGAAAAUUACUGUUCAUCCAGAAAGAUUUCCAGCUCCUUACAAUUUAUACUUCUUUCAAAAAAUUUUGAGGAUCACUUACUGAAUUCUCCUUGACCAUAAAACAUUGUUACUCAUGGAACCUAUGUCAACUUUGUGCAGUUUCAUCACCCAUAUUUUGUAUCGAUUCUGUUGUUUUAGUUUUUAUAUCACUGUCUGUUUGCAGCUGUGACAUGUUUAUUUUGAAGUGACAACAUCAGUUGCUGCUGUUUGUCUUUUGUUGGUACUUACUGGCAAAAGAGAUUGUUUCCCUCUUGUGUCUAGAUGCUAUAAUGAAAGGGCCAAACCUUUUGUUCUCCCUUUGGAAGAGGACUAACAGCAGAAAACCAUGGUAACAGGCCCUGUACCGGGAUGACUCAGUAUGUUCGGCCUAACCAUAUGAUCUCGAUUUGGAUUCCGGUCCAUUAGUAUUAGGGUUAGCAAUAGACAGUGAAGGUUAGUUAUCUGUCAUGUUAGAUCAUUUUAUUCACUUGCUUUCACAUUGUCAAUCUGAACUUACGCCCUUGCUUAAUGGGACCCUUUGCUUGUCAACCUUCAUUAGCUACAUCAUUGAGUAAAUUAUUAUUACUCCAAGGAACUUAGCUUUUUGAUCUUCAUCUUACCUAUUCCAAGUCAUUCUCAUACAACAGCAGCAAGUGUUACAAACUGCAAACUCGCAUGGAGAAUCCUUGAUUAUUGCUAGAAAGAAUCGGUUAAAGUGGUUUCUGACUGUCUUUCCUACAUGUGUCAAGUUGGCCAGCCAAACUACUAGAUAUCUUACCUAGUCAUAUGAUAAUUGCUAUCUUAUCCAAGUUUGGCUGCAGCUCCAGCCCAAAACUGAUCGCAUGAUAAACACAUGAUGCCACACACACUCUCGCACAGAUACAAGGGGCCAUUAACCCAAGAGGAUGGUGAUGGAGGGGUGUGGAGAGAGAUCGAAGUGGUGGUUAUGAUGAAUUCUUUAUGAAUAAGUAAGUGGACAAUAAAGAUGAAUUCUUUAUGAAUAAAUAAGUGGAGAGAGAUCGAAGUGGUGUUGUAAUUGUAUCAUCUUUAUUGUUUAUUAAUAUAAAGUCUCUUCUAUAGCAGACCUGUAGGCACUCGAUGAAUUCACAAAUGUCGAACGAAGCUAAAAAUAAGAAACAACACAUUGAACAACGUUUUUUACAUGCAUCUCAGUUAUAUUUUGGCGAAGUGAUGAUUGAAUUUUACUGAUAAAGACAAUCAAGAUGCUGCAAAUCGAUCCUAGAUGCCGAGGGAGCUGCUAAUGUGCAACAUCUGUUCUUUUGGUGUUAGAUCUUAAUUGAUACACAGCCAACAGUUUGCUUUUUCUCUAUCUGUUUUACCUAUGCAUGUAUUAAACAUAUAUGCCCCUACAGGAACCAUUUGUGAACAUUCCAGAGGAGACAAUUCGCGAAGCUCUCAAAGUCGUUCUUGGUAUGUGGCACACAUUAUCUAUUUCACUCCUUUGUCAGAUUUUGGCUUGAGUAAGUUGCAAAGACUUUACACCAACUACUAAUCUCUAUUGCAGAUGUUCGAAAUCACCCGGUGCUUAUUCACUGCAAACGAGGAAAGGUAAAAAUUUAGAUUCAAUUUUUUUUUUUCACCACUAAUAGUGUUUGUUAUAUAUCAGAGCUCAAUUUUGUUUUUAAACUUUAUUAUUUACCUGUCCAGCAUCGAACCGGUUGUGUGGUAGGAUGUUUGAGAAAGCUUCAGAGGUGGUGCCUCUCUUCAAUAUUUGACGAGUACCAGCGUUUUGCCGCUGCAAAAGCUAGGAUUUCUGAUCAAAGGUUCAUGGAGCUGUUUGACAUCUCGAGCUUAAAACAUUUAUCGGCCACAUUUUCAUGUUCCAAAUGCCCAUAGAUGGUUUAGGGAAAACCGCCUUUUUCGUUAUUAGCGGAGACUUCAAGUUCUAAUGAUAGUCGGGAUCUAUCAAUUCCAUGAACAUUGCAAUAAAAGUAGAGAAGAAUUCUUUUUACUUGCAUACCAUGAUUAUGGAAGAAGAUACUCUAUAGGAUAUACUGUGGCAGUUUUAAAGCCAGCUUAUGUGAGCCUUUUCUUUCAAAUGCAAGUUUGUUUGGGUGUUUAGCCAUUUAUGAAGAAAGUAUGAAGGGAUAGUGCAAUUUGUCGUCCAUCAAGGACAGCUCAUGAAUCUUAAAGCAGUAUGAAUGGUGGAUUAGACGGUCUCACUGAAUGGAGACUCGUAGAAUCCCUUUUUCUAGUAAAGUUUUGGAGUUGCGCUACGCUUCUUCGAGAGUGCGGUCUACAAGAGAAAGUUCUCUAUGGGAUCUAAUUUGUUUUGUCCGGUGCCAAAAUAAUGUUGGGCGAUUGGUUUAAAAAAGGAAUCGAAAUAGGAAUAAAAAAAACAAAAUGAUGAAAAUUCACAACUUUUCUUUUAUUUUGGUCACUGAAAAAAUCAUGUAGUUGCUUAGCUGGCAGUUACACGGCGUUUUCGUCAAAUUUAAGAACUCUUUUAAUGACUGAGACUUAAUUAUAAUAAAAUGAAGAGCUUGGAGACGUCAAUGCCAAAAAAAAAAAGCAAUGCUAUAUAUAUGUACAGCCGAAUGCAGGUGUAUAUUUUACAUUCCACCCAUCCGAUGGGUGAGAUGCUUUUACUGGUCACUCCCACCAUUAAUAUAGAUGUGCAGGGCAUAACUUGUGGUAUAAAGUAGCUUUGCUAGUGGUACACUCCAAAAUAGAAUGCAUAUCUUACAUUUUCAUCCAAGAGCAAUUAUUUUUUUUACCUAUCACAUUAAUUUUUUUUUUUAAACUACAACUAUUUGAGUUUUUGUGAAUUUUAUGAUAGGGAGUCUAAAAUCUAGACCUCCCCUUUUGGGUUAUGUAAAUAGAUUUUGUUUUUGGAGAGUAAUGCUAGUCCUACAAUCAUUUUGAGUUGAAAGCUUACAAUCCCACUCAUUCAUUAAUAGCUCCUAUUAAUUUCUCUAUACCACCGUUUGGUUGGGGGUUAAGGGGUGGAAUAACCCCUUAACCCCUAAUUUAUACCCAAACACUAUUCUUAAGGGGUGGGGUUUACUAACCCCACCCCAAACCGGGUUAGUGGGGUUUACUAACCCCACUCCCCCUCCCAACUUUAACCCCGCACGCAUCCCGAGCCCUCACCUUUUUCUUCUUUAUCAAUCAUUAACCCCAUUCCCCCUCCCAACUUUAACCCCGCACGCAUCCCGAGCCCUCACCUUUUUCUUCUUUAUCAAUCAUUAACCCCACUCCCCCUCCCAACUUUAACCCCGCACGCAUCCCGAGCCCUCACUUUUUUCUUCUUUAUCAAUUGUUAUUUUCUUAUCCCACCUACUCCAACCAAACACUUUUUUUCACUAUUUUAGACUAACUCCAACCUCCAACCAAACACUAUGGGUUUCAUAACUUGUUUUUUGUUCCUUCUACGAAAACUCCAAUGGGGUCGGCAACCUCUUUGGAUUGUAGAUUUAGCAUUUCUCUUUUUCAUUUUUUUUGGGUUAAAGUGGAAAUAAAGGUUUAUGGGGAAUUUCUUUAAGUAACCAACUGGGGUUUCCUCUCAAGUGCAAUCUACAUGCAAUAUUGAAGCUUUUUAGAAGUAUCAUUUGAGUCCGUAUGAAUUGUUGCAUGUGCACAGUAUAAGAUGUAAUGGAUUUCGUCAACUUUAUCAUAGGAAAGUGUAGAUUCAGUAGGCUUUAUCUGUCCAUAGCAAAAUGAUAAAUUGCACUAUUUGUGCCUAAACUUUAAGUUUCAUUUUGGUUCUUAAACUUGUGAUUUUGACAUGUUAGACUUCAAACUUUUAAACAAAGUUUUAGUUUUUUAGUCCCUAGAAUAGUUGCUUGUGUACCUAAUUCAUUUAUUUGUUCAUACAUCAUGCAUUUAUUGUUACUUCAUUUAUCUCGUACUUUUAAUUCAGAAGUCCAAUUUUUAUAUAGAGAAACAAUCAUAAUUUAAGGGGUGGUUGGAUUUAAAUAUGCAGUAAAAAAGUAGCAUGGUUGAUGAAUGCAGGUUACACAGAUGUACAAAUGCAGUGAGUGUAGACAAUAAUUUAUCCUCUACUAGUAUUUAUAUAUGAGGACUAAAAAGAAACUCUUAAUUAUUAGAGUUUAGAAAUUACUAACACCAACCAUCUCUAACGCAAGUGGCAAAAGAGCUUGAUGGUUGGUACCCGAGACCCAAGUUCGAAUACUAGUUGAUUCACAUUUCCAGCUAAGUUUAUUUCUAAAUAAAAUAAAUGAAGUAGGUAGCAUGCUACCUUUCUCUCAAAAAAAAGAAAAUUGCUAACGUUGAACUUGAAUGAUCAAGGACCAAAAUAUAAUUUGUAUUACAGUUCAGGGACUAUGGGUGCCAUUACCAUAGCAAAAUGACAAAGAAAAGUACUAAAAAGAGUUAGUAAUCUCUGCAACUUCUCAUCUGAGAACUGUAAAAUUUAUCAAUCUCUUCUGAUUUUUAACUAAAAAAAAAUGAAAGAAAGUGACAGGACUCGUAAGGAAAAGAUAAUUUUGAAAUAGUAAAGUUAUAAAAUUACAAUCUAAAGUGAGCGAUAUCUUCUUUUUAUAAAGUAAAUCGACUUCGAUUCUUAACAGAACUCAACUUACCCUCUAUUUUUAUGCUUUUAGUGGGCCUAGUAUUUCUGGCAGUUGCAAUGGCUUUUUUAUCUCUGUAUUUAUUUUCAAAAUAAGUACUAAAGUAUUGAUAAUUUUUUUCGCUAUCUUUUUUUAGAA